GGUAGCGUGGCCGAGUGGUCUAAGGCGCUGGUUUUAGGCACCAGUCCGAAAGGGCGUGGGUUCGAAUCCCACCGCUGCGA
rnacentral:tRNA from 1 species